UAUGGAGAGUUUGAUCCUGGCUCAGAGUGAACGCUGGCGGCGUGCCUAAUACAUGCAAGUCGAACGAUGAAGCUUCUAGCUUGCUAGAAUGCUGAUUAGUGGCGCACGGGUGAGUAACGCAUAGGUCAUGUGCCUCUUAGUUUGGGAUAGCCAUUGGAAACGAUGAUUAAUACCAGAUACUCCCUACGGGGGAAAGAUUUAUCGCUAAGAGAUCAGCCUAUGUCCUAUCAGCUUGUUGGUAAGGUAAUGGCUUACCAAGGCUAUGACGGGUAUCCGGCCUGAGAGGGUGAACGGACACACUGGAACUGAGACACGGUCCAGACUCCUACGGGAGGCAGCAGUAGGGAAUAUUGCUCAAUGGGGGAAACCCUGAAGCAGCAACGCCGCGUGGAGGAUGAAGGUUUUAGGAUUGUAAACUCCUUUUGUUAGAGAAGAUAAUGACGGUAUCUAACGAAUAAGCACCGGCUAACUCCGUGCCAGCAGCCGCGGUAAUACGGAGGGUGCAAGCGUUACUCGGAAUCACUGGGCGUAAAGAGCGCGUAGGCGGGAUAGUCAGUCAGGUGUGAAAUCCUAUGGCUUAACCAUAGAACUGCAUUUGAAACUACUAUUCUAGAGUGUGGGAGAGGUAGGUGGAAUUCUUGGUGUAGGGGUAAAAUCCGUAGAGAUCAAGAGGAAUACUCAUUGCGAAGGCGACCUGCUGGAACAUUACUGACGCUGAUUGCGCGAAAGCGUGGGGAGCAAACAGGAUUAGAUACCCUGGUAGUCCACGCCCUAAACGAUGGAUGCUAGUUGUUGGAGGGCUUAGUCUCUCCAGUAAUGCAGCUAACGCAUUAAGCAUCCCGCCUGGGGAGUACGGUCGCAAGAUUAAAACUCAAAGGAAUAGACGGGGACCCGCACAAGCGGUGGAGCAUGUGGUUUAAUUCGAAGAUACACGAAGAACCUUACCUAGGCUUGACAUUGAGAGAAUCCGCUAGAAAUAGUGGAGUGUUUGGCUUGCCAGACCUUGAAAACAGGUGCUGCACGGCUGUCGUCAGCUCGUGUCGUGAGAUGUUGGGUUAAGUCCCGCAACGAGCGCAACCCCCUUUCUUAGUUGCUAACAGGUCAUGCUGAGAACUCUAAGGAUACUGCCUCCGUAAGGAGGAGGAAGGUGGGGACGACGUCAAGUCAUCAUGGCCCUUACGCCUAGGGCUACACACGUGCUACAAUGGGGUGCACAAAGAGAAGCAAUACUGCGAAGUGGAGCCAAUCUUCAAAACACCUCUCAGUUCGGAUUGUAGGCUGCAACUCGCCUGCAUGAAGCUGGAAUCGCUAGUAAUCGCAAAUCAGCCAUGUUGCGGUGAAUACGUUCCCGGGUCUUGUACUCACCGCCCGUCACACCAUGGGAGUUGUGUUUGCCUUAAGUCAGGAUGCUAAAUUGGCUACUGCCCACGGCACACACAGCGACUGGGGUGAAGUCGUAACAAGGUAACCGUAGGUGAACCUGCGGUUGGAUCACCUCCUU
rnacentral:rRNA from 1 species